CAUUUUUAGAAGAUCACUACCAAAAGAAACAUGUUUGUUAUAAUCAACGUAACGAUCUGAUAUUUGGUAGCUGUCUUACUAUUGUUAUUAAUAAAACUGAUAAAGGCAAACUACUUAAAAGCAGCCCAUUCAAAAGAUCUUAAGGGGACUUUUUUUUUUUUAAUAUUUUAUUUAUUCACUAGAGACACACAGAGAGAGAGAGAGAGAGAAGCAGAGACACAGGCAGAAGGAGAAGCAGGCUCCAUGCAGGGAGCCCCAUGUGGGACUUGAUCCCGGAACUCCAGGAUCACGCCCUGGGCUGCAGGCAGACGCUAAACCGCUGAGCCACCCAGGGAUCUAAAGUGACUUAAUAGGCCAUCAGUCAACUGUUAGAAACAGGUUUAAGUUGUUUUUCUACUUUUUACUAUCACUACCAACCCACUUAUACCAAAAUCAUUUCCAAUGCUAUGACUCACCCUCUCAUAUUUCUAAACUGUUGGUGACAUGUCUUCCUUUGUGACCUACCAAAAACACAUACUCAUCACCAUCUUUACUUCCCUUGUGAAGCAUCUACCGUUUUACCUCUUGCCUUUCUAAUAAAAUAUAAGGUUUUUUUUAAAGAUUUUAUUUAUUUAUUCAUGAUAGUCACUGACAGAGAGAGAGAGAGAGAGAGAGAGAGAGAGGCAGAGACACAGGCAGAGGGAGAAGCAGGCUCCACACAGGGAGCCCGACGUGGGAUUCGAUCCCGGAUCUCCAGGAUCGCGCCCUGGGCCAAAGGCAGGCGCCAAACCGCUGCGCCACCCAGGGAUCCCUAAAAUAUAAGUUCUUAAUCGUAUCUUCAGUAUGUUCAAUUACAUGCUGUAAUCUUGCACAUGCAGUUGCCAUUCCACCGUGCUAGCAUUCCAAUCUCAUCAUUGUGCUAGGCUUAGCCUCCAUUAUCAAUAUAAUUAAUUCAUACUUUACAGAACAAUCACAUGGUUAUAUAUAUACUAUAGUCUCUUCUCAUUAACCUUUUCUUUUAAAUCCAUUUCUAACACUCAUUUCUCCUAGCAGGAGAAUUCUUUUUCAUGGCAAUGGUUGAACAGAUGGAAGAGGCAGCACUAAAUGAAGAAAAGCAAAACUAGGUAACAUAAGGAAUUAUACCAACUGUAGGAGAUUUCUAAUUAUUAAUUUUAUAAUCCAAAAAGACGCAGAAAGGUAAAGCAAAUGUCAGUCUGUAUACUAUAAAUGUUUCCACAAAAUACUUUUGUAUUUAUUCAAAUUUAGAAAGAGAUGAAAAUGUUGCUGACAUGUAUAAGACUAGAUAUUGGAUAUUUUUUGGCUUCAAAUGUACUCUGAAUCAAAAAAAGAACCAGAAGAAAAUCCUAAAAUAUUAAACUUUUCUUCCCUUAAGCAAGAUAAAACAGUGAAGCAAACACAAGAGAGUUAUUUUGUUGCAGCUCCUCACUCAUGAGACUGGCCCUUAGAAAUGUAAGAAUAAAAGCUCAGGGCAGCCCAGGUGGCUCAGCCGUUUAGCACCGCUGCCCUCAGCCCAGGGCGUAAUCCUGGAGACUGGGGAUCGAGUCCCACAUCAGGCUCCCUGUAUGGACCCUGCUUCUCCCUCUGCCUGUGUCUCUGCCUCUCUCUGUGUCUCUCAUGAUUAAAUAAAUAAAUAAAAUCUUUAAAAUAAAUAAAUAAAAGCUCAGUUCAUGGUCUGAUUUAACAGGCUUAGAGGCACAGGACCAGCGAAGGGCCAGUCCAGUUCUGAUGGAGAAGAACUGGGUAGAUCAUCACCAAGAAAGAUCUUAGCCUGAGCCAUAUGCUGUCAUUGUCAUUAGAUCUAUCCCAUUUAGAUGACAACCUGAGACCAUUACAGCUCUGGCUUGGCUUUUCCUGAAAAAUAAGAGACCUACAUAGUAGAACCGUGGUUCCAGGAGUUAUUAAGAGUUUCUCCCAUAAGCCACAUCCAUCUAUUGGAAAGGAAUAUAUGUUCCAUAAAUACACCCUAACCCAAGAACUCAGGUAGGGAAAUGACUAAGUUGGUACCACUUCCUUCUUGAUUCACAGCACCCAAAUAAAUAGAUUUCUUUUUUUUUUUUUAAAUGCCUGCUGUUCUAUCAAACAAUAUGGGUGGACAGAAAAAACUAAAAUAGCCUGCAUAUUACUCAAGCUAAACCACUCUAGCAACCUCUGGGACAACAAAGAAAUGGACAGUAAUAAGAAUAAAGUGAUUUUCUGUGUGGGUGGGAAUUUAUGUGUGCCUUAGAACAUAAAGCUUCUAGGUAAACAAAGAUCAGAGCAAUAAUUAAUUCACUGCAUUAAAAUACAGAAAAAAACUCAGAGCAAAAAAUGCAGCAAUGCUACUGACCUAAUUUAGUGCUAUAAUGAAGAAUUUAUAUAACUUAAUAAUUUCAAAGGGAUUUUAGUAAUUGCUUUCAAAGAAACUAACACAACCUCAACAAAUCAUACUUACCUCAAUUUUUAUUUUUUUUUAUUUUUUAUUGGUGUUCAAUUUACUAACAUACAGAAUAACCCCCCGUGCCCGUCACCCAUUCACCCCCACCCCCUCCCGCCCUCCUCCCCUUCCACCACCCCUAGUUCGUUUCCCAGAGUUAGCAGUCUUUACGUUCUGUCUCCCUUUCU
rnacentral:lncRNA from 1 species